AGAGUUUGAUCCUGGCUCAGAACGAACGCUGGCGGCGUGCUUAACACAUGCAAGUCGAACGUGAAGGGGAGCUUGCUCCCUGGAAAGUGGCGCACGGGUGAGUAACGCGUGGAUAAUCUACCCGACGAUCUGGGAUAACAUCUCGAAAGGGGUGCUAAUACCGGAUAAGCCCACGGGGUCUUUGGAUCUUGCGGGAAAAGGGGGGGACCUUCGGGCCUUCUGUCGUCGGAUGAGUCCGCGUACCAUUAGCUAGUUGGUGGGGUAAAGGCCUACCAAGGCUACGAUGGUUAGCUGGUCUGAGAGGAUGAUCAGCCACACUGGAACUGAGACACGGUCCAGACUCCUACGGGAGGCAGCAGUGGGGAAUUUUGCGCAAUGGGGGAAACCCUGACGCAGCAACGCCGCGUGAGUGAUGAAGGCCUUCGGGUCGUAAAGCUCUGUCAGAGGGAAAGAAAUGCAGGGUGGCUAAUAACCGCUUUGCCUGACGGUACCCUCAAAGGAAGCACCGGCUAACUCCGUGCCAGCAGCCGCGGUAAUACGGAGGGUGCAAGCGUUGUUCGGAUUUAUUGGGCGUAAAGCGCGUGUAGGCGGUCUUUUAAGUCUGAUGUGAAAGCCCCGGGCUCAACCUGGGAAGUGCAUUGGAUACUGGGAGACUUGAGUACGGGAGAGGGUAGUGGAAUUCCCAGUGUAGGAGUGAAAUCCGUAGAUAUUGGGAGGAACACCGGUGGCGAAGGCGGCUACCUGGACCGAUACUGACGCUGAGACGCGAAAGCGUGGGGAGCAAACAGGAUUAGAUACCCUGAUAGUCCACGCCGUAAACGAUGAGUACUAGGUGUUGCGGGUAUUGACCCCUGCAGUGCCGCAGCUAACGCAUUAAGUACUCCGCCUGGGAAGUACGGUCGCAAGACUAAACUCAAAUGAAUUGACGG
rnacentral:rRNA from 1 species